rnacentral:rRNA from 1 species
UACGAAGGGUGCAAGCGUUACUCGGAAUUACUGGGCGUAAAGCGUGCGUAGGUGGUUUGUUAAGUCUGAUGUGAAAGCCCUGGGCUCAACCUGGGAAUUGCAUUGGAUACUGGCAGGCUAGAGUGCGGUAGAGGAUGGCGGAAUUCCCGGUGUAGCAGUGAAAUGCGUAGAGAUCGGGAGGAACAUCUGUGGCGAAGGCGGCCAUCUGGACCAGCACUGACACUGAGGCACGAAAGCUCGGGGAGCGAACGGG